CCACGCCGCCCCCGGCUCCCUCUCGGGCUCCUGUUCGUCCCGGGCGCCCCUCAGGGCCAUGGUGGGUGGCGGCCCGCGGCUGAGGGGCCGGAGCGCGGCUGCGGGAGGGGAGGGCGCGCAGGCCGCAGCCCCGUGCGCGGGGCGAUCCAUCAGCAGGACGGCUACUGCUGGGAAGAAUUCCUCCCCGGCGGGAUGAACCUCCAGUGACUCUUCUCGGGGGCCGGGGACGUCCCCCUCCCGUGCGGGCAGGGCCAUCGCUCAGCCCGGGGAUGAACUCUCCCUCACCCCCUGACCCCCUCUUCAACUCCGCACAUGCACCAAGGCGUGAACUGGGGCUCCGCGGGGCCCAGAGGCCUCCUACCCCCCUCCGCCUCAUUCCGGCUUCACGUCGGACAUAGGGGCUGGGGGAUGGCUGAGCUCAGCCCCACAGCAUCGUCACUGUCUUCUCUGACAUACAGCACCAAGCCGAAGAAGGCUUGUCUCCUGAACCUUGGCAGGAGCUUUGUCCCAUGCUGGAGGGUGCAGCCACCUCUUAACAAUUUAGACUUUAUCUCCUCCUGGCCUGGACCUUCCAGAACCAACCGGGGUCUCUCCCCUGCAGGACCUCACUGCCACUCUCAGAUUGUCCCUGGAUGCACAAACCAAAGUUAAACGGAGGAGUCACACUGGUGACAGAUGGGGAUGUCCCCUCUGUUUCGCAGGAGUGAGCAGUAGUUUUUGCUUGAUGGCUCUGGAAGCCCUUGCCAGGCUGAAGAGUUGUGCUGACAUCUCGGAGUCGUGUGACAAAGGGUGCAGAAGGUGUCAGUUCCUGUUUCUGAAUCAUCUGGUCUGACUAUGUUGUGCUGGGGGAAACAGAAGCACAAGGACAGCAGCUGAACCUUUGUGCUUUUCUGUAGGUUUUUUAUUUUUUUAAUUUUUUUAUUUUUCCAAGGAAGCUUUCAGUGUGCUCUCCUGCUGGGUCCUCAGGGAAUAACGUGCUCUGGCAAUUUAUUACACUGUCUCUAGGCAGAGCCUACCACUGCUAUAUCAGGGAAUUACUUAAGGAGUUACUCAGGUCCAGGUGGCUGUUUGAGAACUUAUAUCAAGAACUUACGUCACCUGCUUUCCCUUGUAGUUAAAUUUAGGUCCCUUCUUUUGGCUCAUUUCUCCUUUUAUCAGAGCAUAAUUUAACCACUGGUCACUGGAGACAAAGAGAAGCCUAAAUAAGCUUCAAAAUACAUCUGAGAAACUUUGCUGGGAAGAGCUAAGAAGCAAUUUUUUCUUCUGAAAAUCAAUGUCCUUUCACAAUGAGUCCAGUAACUUCUCUAUGUUGGAUGAAGGAAGUAGCAGACAGAAGAGAAGGAAAAAAUAGCAUGACAAGAGAUACCAGGAAGUCCAAGGGAAAGGUGAAGCAAAGGUAUUUUCUCACAUCAGAGAAGAAGAGACAAAACUUACCUUUCUUUACACUUAAACUCCUUGGUUCAGUUCACUGCUGCAUUCACAAAAAGGGACAGGAGGUACAGAGAGAGUGGCAUGGGUGACAGCAUCCUGUGUCCCAGGCCAGCAAGAUGGUCAGGUGCUCCAAAACUGUCACUGCAGGCUGGCAGAGGUGGUUAGGGUCUGGAAAGGAGGAUGUGAGAGACACAAUUCUUAAUACCACAGAACUUCCAAUCCCAGGUGCUGAUGGCAAUUUUCUACGGAAAAGCAGCUUGUGGAUGCUUUAAGUUUGUAUUGCAAUUAAAUGCAUGUUUUAGUGCUUUGGGCAUUUUUGUAAUAAUAAAAUGGCAGAUAUAGAAUAAAUCUAAGUACACUGGGACUCUGACUACUCGGGACUGCCUUUGUAGGGACUGGUGGUAGAGGUAUCUCUUUCUAUCCUGUGGGAUUAUCCAUAGAAUUCAGCUAGUGAUUACAAUGAAGCAUUUUAAGACAAACCAACGCCAGUGAUGGCUGCAAUGCAAAGUCUGCCCUGUAAACUGCAGUGUUUUGGGAGCUGAUUGACAAGCAGCUUAGACAUCUGGACACCAGGAGCAGAGCAGACAGCUGGAGCUGCCAACCUUUUCAGCUUAUCCUGAGGAACCUGUAAGACAGGUAAGACUGUGUGGUGCUGUGGACCAAUAGCGUUUCAGCUCAGAAACCCUGUGUUCACACUUGGAUAUGAGAUGUUCAUAACAGGCACUCAGAAAUGUAAGAGGUGUGCGAUGUCAAGAGCAGAGGAAAUUCAAAGUCCAUCCCAUUGUUGCCAUCUUUGUAUCUGCCUCUCCAAGUCUGGAAGUAAAACCAGCAAGCCAUAGUGCAGGGUUCCCAGUACCUCUGCCCAUCCUGGAAAUAAAAGGUAUUGGCAGACAAGUUUUCCCAUUGUGUUCAGUCUUUGGCCUCAAUGGUGCUCAUCUGUAUAUAGUAGGAUAUGGGAUCAUCCAGUGCACCAACUUCUUCCUUCCAGCUUUGGCCUCUACCAAAGCACAAUCCCUGCAUUAUCCACUGCCCACUGCUUCCUCCGAGACUUCCACAGGAGUGCCUAGGGAAGUCAAAUUAUGCUCCUAAAGUGCUGGCUGGCCCAGCAUAUAGAACAAGAUAUACUCUACAUAUCGUUAAAGGAAAUAGCAUUUAUACUUCUGCUGUUCAAGGAGUGCUAAGGUCUGCUCAGUAACUAGGUUAAGCCCUCCUUAUACUUCAGAUUCACAGAUUUCAGGGGGCCAGUUGAGGGCAUAUAUUCCCAAGAACUCAUUCAAUCAGACAAAAGCAAGAUGUUUAGGAAGUUUGUCCAGUCCUUUAAGUGACUUCAGCACUUCUUUCUCAGUGUACAUCCAGCAUGAAACAUUUCCUGCAAAAAAUUGUAGACAUUGAAGAGAAAAUUCAAAAAGGCAUGUAGGCACCUAACAUGUCACUCCAUCAGAAUGCAAUUGCCUGAAUUGAUGUCAUCCAUCUGAUUUCUUACACACCUGAAGAUGAGCUCCGGCAGGUACCUAGAAGUUUCUAACACAGCUCUGGUGACUGUCUCUGGAUCAAGUGCGUGCUGUUGAUGGUGCCUCUGGAUCACCCCCACCAGCUGAGCUUUGGUUUGCGUCCAGGAUCAAGGUCAGAACACACCAGCUGGCUUCCUCUUGGGUAAAAUCCAUCUGGAAAAGGCACUCUAGGAGCUCACUGAACAUGCCCAAGGCACACAUGGGUGUCUCAGCUUGAUGGAACCAGGAAGCACUAUUCCAAAAAGAGCGUCCUGAAGGAUGUGUGCCAUGGCCACGCGGGGCUCACUCCCAGCUCUUUCGCUGAACACAUCUGCUCCUAUUGGUCUGCGUGACAAGUGCAGGCACAGCCACUGUAGCUGUGCAGCUCGUCCCAGAGCUGACUGCAUGUGCACAUGUGUGCGCGGGGCCGUGUCACCUGCACACGCGUGCGUGCACAUGUGUGUGCACAUGUAAUUUAUCAUUUUUUUGUGUGUGACACACCAAAAAUAAUGUAUGAGCUCCCUCUGCUGCUUUAUACAAAGAAAUUAAUCAAGAAAAUUGCUUGCAAAGCUGAGAGCGUUUUAUUCAUAUCUUGCUGAUAAUGCUGUAUGCACAAGUAAUACUAAAAAUAAGUGUGUAUUAUGCUUGCAAAGCACUGUCCAAACAUUAAAUAA